rnacentral:rRNA from 1 species
GAUAAACGCUGGCGGCGUGCAUAACACAUGCAAGUCGAACGAAGGGGCGAACGGGUGAGUAACACGUGAGUAACCGGGCUUACACCAGGGGAUAGCCUUUGGAAACGAGGAAUACUACCCUAUAGGUUAAGAUGGACUUGCGUCUGAUUAGCUAGUUGGUGAGAUAAAGGCCCACCAAGGCAACGCUCAGUAGCCGGCUUGAGAGAGGGGCCCGCCACAGUGGGACAGAGACACGGGGCAAAUUUUACGGGAGGCAGCAGUGGGGAAGUUUGCACACUGGGGGAAACCCUGAUGCAUCGACGUCGCGUGAUUUAGAAGGCCUUCGGGUUGGAAAAAUCUUUUUUAUGCGAUGCAGUACCAUAAGAAUAAGGUCCGGCUAAAUACGUGCCAGCAGCCGCGGUAAUAC